rnacentral:rRNA from 1 species
GUGUCAGCCGCCGCGGUAAGACGAACCGUGCGAACGUUGUUCGGAAUCACUGGGCUUAAAGGGCGCGUAGGCGGACUCGUAAGUCUGUGGUGAAAGCCCCCAGCUCAACUGGGGAAGGGCCUUGGAUACUGCGAGUCUGGAGGAGGGUAGGGGCAUCUGGAACGCUGGGUGGAGCGGUGAAAUGCGUUGAUAUCCAGCGGAACUCCGGUGGCGAAGGCGAGGUGCUGGACCCUUUCUGACGCUGAGGCGCGAAAGCCAGGGGAGCGAACGGGAUUAGAUACCCCCGUAGUCC